UACGAAGGGGGGCUAGCGUUGUUCGGAUUUACUGGGCGUAAAAGCGCACGUAGGCGGUUUUGUUAAGUGAGAGGUGAAAAUCCCAGAGCUCAACUCUGGAAACUGCCUUUUCAUACUGGCAAGCUAGAGUCCGGAAGAGGUAAAGUGGGAAACUCCUAGUUGUAGAGGUGGGAAAUUCGUAGAUAUUAGGAAGAACACCAGUGGCGAAGGCGGGCUUACUUGGUCCCGGAACCUGGA
rnacentral:rRNA from 1 species